AUUUGAAUCAUUUCGAGAGUUCUAUACUGUCUAUGGUUCGAUACGGGAUCACGAAUCAUUUGAGUAAGUUUGGGGAUCGCGAAUCAUUUGAGCCUAAAAUGAUUAUUCUGACCCACACACAGAAAAGCAAGGACUCCGCCGGCGGAUCGUCCGCAGAGGGAUAGCGUCUUCCGGAACGGACCCGUACCGGCGUCCACUUGAGCAAUGACGGAUCCGAAACGAAGGCGUUGCUCCGCGCUGCAUCAACGAUUAAAACCUUACCGCCACGGUUGCGAGCAGGAACAGCAACAACUCAUGUGAUGGUCUAACUCUCUGUCUGUCUAUAUCACAGGCUACACAUUUCUGUCUCAGCGCUGAAACCUCGACUGACUUCAGCUCGUCAGAUGCAGAACUUACAACAGAUGUGUUGACUCUGUCAGAGUUGAAGGGGUAGGUGUAGAAUGGAGACACA